AAACCCACAACUUUGGGACUCAAACCUAGAAAGAGGAAGAUAGUUUUGGGACUUAAACCCACAGCUUUGGAAGGGAAAAAGAGCAAGGGACUUUAAACUCUGGUUUUAAAGAAGAGUAAGAAGAAUAAUCCCAGAAUUUUUAAGGGAAGAACAAGAAGAAGAGGUCUAUGAUUUUUAGGGCUUGUUGGAAUAUCGCUUGUCGGAACAUGUCCCACAUCGAUAGUGUACACGAAAAAUUAAAGGGUAUACAAGUGUUGGCAAACCAAACCAAA
rnacentral:misc_RNA from 1 species